UGGGGAAUAUUGCACAAUGGAGGGAACUCUGAUGCAGCGACGCCGCGUGAACGAAGAAGGCUUUCGAGUCGUAAAGUUCUUUUAUAUGGGAAGAUCAUGACGGUACCAUAAGAAAAAGCCCCGGCUAACUACGUGCCAGCAGCCGCGGUAAUACGUAGGGGGCUAGCGUUGUCCGGAAUCACUGGGCGUAAAGGGUUCGCAGGCGGAAAUGCAAGUCAGGUGUAAAAGGCAGUAGCUUAACUACUGUAAGCAUUUGAAACUGCAUAUCUUGAGAAGAGUAGAGGUAAGUGGAAUUUUUAGUGUAGCGGUGAAAUGCGUAGAUAUUAAAAAGAAUACCGGUGGCGAAGGCGACUUACUGGGCUCAUACUGACGCUGAGGAACGAAAGCGUGGGUAGCAAACAGG
rnacentral:rRNA from 1 species